CCAGAACUGGUCAGAACAACACUGAAACCUGCUGCUGUUGCCCCUACUUCCGCCAUCAGAUGCACCCACUAGGCCUCAUCAAGGUAGGAAAGGAUCCACCAGAUCCCUUCUGCAACCCAGCUUGGGCCAUCCAGUCACCAACGUUGCCCAAGGUCACACUGAAAAGUUGUUACAGUCAUACCUCAGGUUACAGAUGCUUCAGGUUGCGUUUUUUCAGUUUACGGAUGCUCCGAAACCCGGAAGUACCGGAACGGAUUACUUCCGAGUUUCGCAGGUCACACAUGCGCAGAAGCGCCAAAUCACAACCCAUGUGUGCGCAGAAGUGCUGCUGCGGGUUGCGAACGUUCAUCCCGCACAGAUCACAUUCGCAAUCCGAGCGUCCACUGUAUUUGGGAGUGUAAGAGAGGAGCUGGCUGUUGGCUUCCCUGUUGUAAGGAAAAAGGAUCCUCUGAUUAGGGAUAAAUAUUUGCUGAGAUCAAAUGGAUCUGGACUACCAGUAGCCUUCAGAAAAGACUGUAGCUCAAUGGUAGAACACUUGCUUUGUAUGCAGAAGUACCCAAGUUCAUCCACCGCCAUGUUUUGCUUUCUGUUUGCAGGCUUGCCAUAAGCAUCUGGUUGGCCACUUUAGGAUUCUGGAGCAGAUGGGCCUUUGACUCUUUUUAUGUUCUUUGCUUCUCUAGGCAGGGCUGGGAACAUCCCCUGCUCCCCAGCUGAGGAGACCAGCCAUCAGUCCAUGUCAACAAUACUGAGCUGGAUGGACCAAUGUUCUGAUUCAGUAUAAGGGGGCUUCCGAUAUUCCUAUGAGCAAUUGUGGGAGGGAAAGCUGCACUCUGCACUUCUUUUCAGGGCUGUAACGAAAGCGCAUCAGCUAAAAUAUUUCAAUGCUUUUGUGGGGUACGGUUUACUUUCAGCUAGACCUGUGCCAAACACUCUGCCCUGAUUACUCAAAAGUUCUUCUCCUGCGAAAGAGGCCUCAACAUUUCUGCCUUUUUCUUGGGGCACUUUGAAAUUUCUGAAAUUUCUGAAAUUGCACUUUGAUGUCUGUGGGACAGCCUCCCCAGGUGUCUGCACUUCCUGGUCUGAAAAAGCCCCUGGGAGAAAGUUGCUUCACGACACCUUUCUGUUAGUUUAACUGAAACACAAGAAGCCACAAAGGCUGGCUUCCAAGUGCAGUCACAGAUAUUUUUCUUCUUUCCUUUUUGAAAAGAGAAGUCCUUUUCACAUUUUUGCUGAUUUCUUUAGAAGUAUAAACACUUUAAAACAAACAACUGCCAAACACAUGGCAGGCAGGACCCCCCCUUCCCAAACUUACAGGAAGGACAAGCUGGGGAGGCCACUGUGUUUACAGGAAAAGCAGGCGGUCAGAGUGCAUAUCUCUGGAGAGAUACCCUCUCCUGGACUUUGAUUGAAGUGUGGGCACCUGGGAAGGCUGCAAAGACCAGACAAUGGUGAGAUGAUUUGUAGAAUGAAAGAUGAAAUACCCUUUCUCGAUGACCUCAAAAGUAAGGUAAGUGCAACAAAAAUUCUGCACACAAGAAUUUCAGCGACGUUUUCUCUCCCCUUUGAUAACUUUUGAAUGCGGUUUCUUUUCUUAUAAUUGGAGAAUUGUCAGCAAAAAAAGAGAGGAUAAUUUUUCAGCACUUUCAACAAAUUUCUCAAGGAUUUAUGCCAGCUUUUGCCUACAGACAUUGUAUGCAAUUGACAGAACACUGUGCUUGUUUGUAAGCCACAAAAGGUAAUUCGGGAGGGGCCAGCUGCUUUCAAAGUAUGCCUUGCUCCACGAGAAAGGAAAGCGAAGGCAAACCAUUCUUUUAAACUAGUAGCUUAAAUUGUUAUUAUGGUUACAUCCAAACUGAAAGAAAUCCAGUUAUCCCUGUUGAGUUCUUUUUUAAAAAAAAAGCAACAUAAUUAUUAUUGUCUUAUUGCAACAAAACAGAUAAUUACGCCCUGCAAUUCUGCCACUGGUAAUUCUACAUAAUUUGUUCCAAAUCUGCCUUUUGACAUGUGUAAGAAAAGAGAAAAAGAGGGAGUUGUUUUCAGGGAACAUCCUGGGAACCACUAUAAAGUAAAUAAAUGCUGGUGAAUCCCCUGUUCCAUACACUUUUGAAAUACAGGAAGUAGGCAAUAUGAAACCGUGUGUGUGUGUGUGUGUGUGUGUGUUCAGCAGCCAAAAAAAAAAAAUAAACCCUAUAAAGUGCAGAGUUGAGGCUAGAUCAAUUUAAAUGCCAAAAAAGACUGCAAAUGUUUUGCCUUCAGUGGUCACUGCAGCAAUGUUAAUUCUGGGCUGAAACAUAUGCCGUUCAUGAAUUGGACUUCACAUGCAUGCAAAUUUCAUAGGUGACUGGAUAAAGGAAAGGCAGAAGAUCUCAAGAAAGAUUUCACUAAAGUUAACUUCUUCUAAAAAUGGACGUGGGUGGCGCUGUGGGUUAAACCACAGAGCCUAAGACUUGCCGAUCAGAAGGUCAGCGGUUCGAAUCCCCACGACAGGGUGAGCUCCCGUUGCUCGGUCCCUGCUCCUGGCAACCUAGCAGUUCGAAAGCACGUCAAAGUGCAAGUAGAUAAAUAGGUACUGCUCCGGCGGGAAGGUAAAUGGCGUUUCUGUGCGCUGCUCUGGUUCGCCAGAAGUGGCUUAGUCAUGCUGGCCACAUGACCCGGAAGCUGUACGCCGGCUCCCUCAGCCAAUAAAGCGAGAUGAGCGCCACAACCUCAGAGUCGGCCACGACUGGACCUAAUGGUCCCUUUACCUUUACCUUUAACUUCUUCUAUGAGUCUUUUGCCACAAUCUGUGCACACCGGCAUUUAACACAGAGGCACAUUCUUUUCUGCACCAUGAUGCUCACCCCAGCUCUGCUGAGCUGCCUGGAAGAGUCUUCCAGCAAACAACACUGAGCAACUCUGCCUGGGGCCACUUCGUUGCUGGGUUGGGUUUUCAUCAGUAUGCAGAUGAUACCCAGCUCUACCUCCCUUUCAGAUCAGAACCAGUGAAGGCAGUGAAGGUCCUGUGUGAGUCUCUGGAGGUGGUUGGAGGAUGGAUGACGGCUAACAGAUUGAGGUUGAAUCCUGACAAGACAGAAGUACUGGUUUGGGGGGACAGGAGGCGGGCAGGUGUGGAGGACUCCCUGGUCCUGAAUGGGGUAACUGUGCCCCUGAAGGACCAGGCGCACAGCCUGGGAGUCAUUUUGGACUCACAGCUGUCCAUGGAAGCGCAGGUCAAUUCUGUGUCCAGGGCAGCUGUUUACCAGCUCCAUCUGGUACGCAGGCUGAAACCCUGUCUGCCCACCUAUCGCCAGCGUGGUGCAUGCUCUAGUUAUCUCUCGCUUGGACUACUGCGCUCUAUGUGGGGCUACCUUUGAAGGUGACCCGAAAACUACAACUAAUCCAGAAUGCGGCAGCUAGACUGGUGACUAGGAGCGGCCGCCGAGACCACAUAAAACCAGUCUUGAAAGAUCUACAUUGGCUCCCAGUAUGUUUCCGAGCACAAUUCAAAGUGUUGGGGCUGACCUUUAAAGCCCUAAACGGCCUCAGUCCGGUAUACCUGAAGGAGCGUCUCCACCCCCAUCAUUCUGCCCGGACACUGAGGUCCAGUGCCGAGGGCCUUCUUGUGGUUCCCUCACUGCGUGAAGCCAAGUUACAGGGAACCAGGCAGAGGGCCUUCUCAGUAGUGGCACCCACCCUGUGGAACGCCCUCCUACCAGAUGUCAAAGAGAACAACAACUAACAGACUUUUAGAAGAUAUCUGAAGGCAGCCCUCUUUUAAUGUUUGACGGACCACUGUAUUUUAAUACUUUGUUGGAAGCCACCCAGAGUGGCUGGGGAAACCCAGCCAGAUGGGUGGGGUAUACACAAUUAUUAUUAUUAUUAUUAUUAUUACAUGUGCAAUAGCUACAUACGUACAACUACAGCUGGAUCAAGGCCAGAGAUUUCAAUGGGAGGGUUGGUUGUGUGCCCAGCCUUUCCCAACUGAGCCGACGUUUACAGCCAGAUCCUAUGCAUAUUGACUUGGGAGUACAUCCCUUUGAACGGAAUUAAACAACAUCCCAAGUAACUGCUAAGAAGGUUACAGUCAUAACCUGUGCCCCUUUUCAUUUUUUAUUCUCUUCGAUUCUCAAAAAUAUCCAUUGUAGCUCAUUUUAGUAUGCUUCCCAUAUUUCCACAUUUUUUGUUCAUUGCGCACCAUUUUUAUUUUCUUUUUGUCCAUUUGACAUGAGGAGGGAGCCACCAUAGUCAGAUUUGGAGAAUAGGGGAUAGUGCCAUUUAGUAGCUGAUACUUCCAAGGGGCCUUUCAUGUCUUUCUUGCUCUUUCUAUUAUAAAUUACUGUAUUUUUCCUGUUUUCAGUAUAGUUUUCUUGUGCAAUACAUUUAUUCACAGUUAGUAAAAUACUAAGCAGGCAGAGCCAUCCAGCAUGACCAAAGGCCAAGGAUGAUGUGAGCUGAAGUUCACCUUUUAGUUAUGGAGAACAUUGUCAGGAAUGUUCAUUCUUGGAAUUAGAUUCAGUGUUCACUUUAUGUGAAUAUAAUUUUAGAAGCUCCAUGACAGUUACUUAGCUGGGCAAUAUUUAUGACGGAACUAGCAGUUCAGGUAAUUCCAAUCCCUUCUUCCCUCCCCCAAACACAACAUUAGUAAACUCUUAAAUACUCCCCAAAGAUCUUCUUCUCUUUUCUUGGCAGGGACAUGAAACUCUCAUUAGUGUCAGCAAGGGUCGUGGUCAUAUAUCAGGAGCUGAAGAACUCUAAAUAAAUUAAUUGGAUUCCCCACAUCACUCACCCUCUUCAGUGAAUGGGGGCUAUUCAGAUUCAUGCAUGUUUUGAUUUCAAAGCUAAGGCACCCAGUGUCGUUUCAUGGAAGAUGUAGGAUGGAUGGGCCACCAGCUUGGAUGGUUUUGAAAGGCAUUUCAACAAAGUCGUGGAGGAUGAGCCUGUCAGUGGUUAUUGUGCUGGGAAACACAAGUGGGAAGAAACUGUGAUGUUUCUGGUUCCAACAAACCAUACCAAGGAUGAGGAAUAGUUUUAUCGAAGAAGCUGUAUUCAGCGGUGCUUCAAAUACUCUCUGCUAGAACUGAAAAUCAGAGCCUAAGGAACAUUUUGCUGUCCUGCUUUUAAGACUCACCAGGUUCUGGGAGAUGGAGGGUCUGGAAUGCUUUCUAAUGGCAACAUGUCAGAGCUGGGUGUUGCUCUGGCUCUCCCAUGAUUUCCCAACUUCCCCCCUCAUCUGCCUUUGAGCUGCUACCUCCCUCAAACCCCUGUUGUAAAUCUAUACAGUGGUACCUCGGGCUAAGUACUUAAUUCGUUCCGGAGGUCCGUUCUUAACCUGAAACUGUUCUUAACCUGAAGCACCACUUUAGCUAAUGGGGCCUUCUGCUGCCGCCGUGCCGCCAGAGCACAAUUUCUGUUCUCAUCCUGAAGCAAAGUUCUUAACCCGAGGUAAUAUUUCUGGGUUAGCGGAGUCUGUAACCUGAAGCAUAUGUAACCUGAGGUAUCACUGUACUCUCUUUCUCUUCCUCCUCCCUGGAAGGGUCAGGAUGGGGAGGUGGUCUUCACCGUUCCUCCUCUGCCCAGUCCCUGACACCAACAUGGUUGAUUCCACCCUGGCUUCAUGGGCUGGAUCAGUCCGGGACCUGAUCCAUGUCUUUGGUAAGAGCACCAUACCUGCUGCAUCUUUCACCCCCUUUGACUCAUUCCUACCUGUCCCAUCUGUGCAUUACCAUAUGUGCAGGUGCACCCCAAAAGCAAUCUUGGUCGUACACAUGGCCACAGUGAAACAUUACUCCCAUAAUAAAGAGCAUUUAAUCAUGGACGUGACUGCGUCGUGGCAAUGACACAGUGCUUUAAGACACAUGAGCACUGGUCAUGUAGGGAGCGAAGGAAAGAUGCAAAUAAAUGGAAAAAAUGGUAAGCUCAGACAAACCACCCAUGCAGUAUUUCUGGGAUUGAUUUUGCAGAUUCUCCUGGUUAAUUCAGAAUAUGGGAGGAGUGAAGAGGGAAACAAAGGAACAAUAAAGGAAGAGAAUAGGAGAAAUUCUCUCACCCCCUCAAAUGGAUGUGGUCACUGUGGCGAUCACACAGGGUCCCCGGAAACUUCACUGUCUACUGAUCCCUGUGCCACCAUUUUAUUUCGUGCUGCCACCACCCAGGCCCUACCUGGUACAAUACUGAGUCAAGUCAGGGUUAAAUUGGAACAUAAACUUCUGUUUAUUUAUUGCAGUUUAACAAAUGUGUGGUUUCAUAAAUGGUAUCGGUCAAUUACAAUCAUGGGGUGCCUAUCCAGACCUAUAACUUCCGCUACCUGCUCUCACUCACUAAACCACCUCUCAGAUAUUUACUUGUCUUCCUAGCUCCUAACUGUUCCUGACUUAGCUUAUUUUGCUACACUAACUCAACCUCCCCACAGACUCUAUCCCAAUUCACUCCCACUCCAACCAACCACCCAACUCCCAAUGAACUCCUCCUUUUGCCCCUCCCAGAGCUGGUUUUAUAGUCCCUCUGACUCCACCCCCUGGGUCCUGAUUGGGUAACCUGUUUAAUUAUUUCUCCUCCAGCACUCUCAUAUGUAUGUCACAGUCACCAAGGCAUUCAUGCUGCCUGCAGUGGGGGCCCCAGCACGAACAACUGUCUCUCCCAUUUCUGCUAGCAUUUGGGGGGCAUGAGUGGCUGUGAGUUCCGGGGUGAGGGAAGCCAGGCAAGUCAUCAAAUCUGCUGAGCUCCCCUGGGUGUAUAGGCCCUGGCAAAUGCCCCAGUAGGCCAAGUGCAGAUUCCAGGCCUGGUGUCCAAGCUAUGGACAGAAGGCAUGCUGAAGCUAAGCAGGCCCAGCUGUAGUCAGUACCUUGAUUGGGUGACCGUCUUUGGACCACUUGUACACCACCUUGAGUCCGUAAUUUAUUUUUUUAAAAAGCAGGAUAUAAACCUAAGAGAAUAAAUAAUUAAAACACGUAUUAAAUUAACAUAUACAAUCAGUGCCGAUUUUUGCACAUUCCCUAAGGCAACUGAUUCGUGAAGAUAGGCUUGCAAAAACACAGAUACAAAGAAAGAGGGAGGGAUAUGUAUGUCUGAGAGAGAGAGAGAGAGAGAGAGAGAGAGAGAGAGAGAGAGAUUUAAAGAUGAUUUUGGAUGUCAUAUUGGAACUGAAACCCUCCUUGAACUGGCUGUGGAGCUCUUUUAAUCUCAGCUACUUGAGCGUUUUUCUGACCCGCUAGAGCAAAUAGCUUCUAAGGUUACCCGAGGAUCGGAUUUUGUUUUGUUUCUUUUAAGUGGGAGAGCAUUACAGGUCUUCUCCAUGGUACAGUGAUCAUUGUUCUGCACAAUCGAGGUUCACUGCUGUGAAAGCUAAGCUCCUGUUUCAAAUCUACUGUGGUCUGAGAAAGCCACCACUUUAAUAAUGCCCUGGCUGUGAUGCUAGCAAAACAUUAUCAAUUUAGGCCUUAAAUUUUGAAGUACCAGGAGGCUAUAUUGACAGAGGAGGGGGGGAGUAGUCCUGUCUGUGAUCUUAUUUAAACAGUGAGCAACGGACUUGAUGCCAAGGCCAGCUUCAGAUUUCAGGGGGUAUGAUGCUGCCAGGGGGCACCCAUUCCUCAACUCACCCACCCAAUGCAGCAACAUCCUUUUCCUCUGCUGUUGCUGCCAUUGGGGAGGCAGCAACACGAAUGAUUGGCUCCUCCAGCUUGACCAGCCAUCGUGGAUCUGAAUUUGGCUCUCAUUCAAAAGUAGCAGUGCCUGUUGGGAUAUUCCAUUCCACCUUAAGGGACAGGCAUGAUUGUUGUGUGUCACAUGUCUGUUUACACUCCAGCACAGCUUGCUGGGAACUUCCGUUUGUGUAUAGCUUUUGCUUAUGCUGCUUGCUUGGACACGAAGGAGAAAAGACAUGUUUUCCUCUUGUCCUGAUGUAUGCUGAAUAAACUGCUUGUAAAUAUGCUCAACACAGUCUCUCCCCACCACUUCUGUUGCGCAGCGCUAUUUACUCUGCUGAGUUGUGUGCUCCAGCUUCUGAAGGUGUCUGAAGCUGGGGUCGCAGUUUCAUGCUGAUCUACGGACUGAAGGUCGCCCGGCACACCAGCCAGUGGGCUAGGGUCAGCUGGGGCCCUGCCAAUUGCCCCCGAUUCCUUGGCUGCAUCCCAACAGUGUUGCCCGCCCACCACUAUCUGAAUAUUAUGUUUGACCUGGUUUAUCUUUAGUUCGACCGCGAGAGUGCCUGUCUCUCAAGUGUAUAUGAAAGUUUGAUGCUUCAUUACGCUUUUAUAUUUCUUGAAGCUGCCCAGAGUGGCUGGGCAGAGUACAAAUAAAAAAAUCACCAUCAUCAUCUGAGUGAGUUUAACAUGGCCGGAUAAACUUCAUGCAAAUAUAAGCAAAUAAUUUGUUGUAUUCAUGGAAAUAUAUGCAAAAUAUUUAUAAGUUACUUAUAUCCAGGUUGAUAGCCUGAGAGCAGUUUUCAAAGCAGCUUACUCAAGCUUUCCAUAAUAUAAUCAUAGUCCAUUGUAGUAUCAGGAGUAGAAAUAGUUUGGUCCACCUGGUAAUGCCAAGAGCACUAUCCAAUUUAAUUGUAAUGCUUCAGGGACAGGGCGUCUUCUAUCACCUCGGGGAAGAACCACAGUUUAGUGAUUGAGCAUCUGCCUUAGAAGCAAGAGGUCCCAGGUUCAAAGAGACCUGCCUGAAAUCAUGGAGAUUGGCUGCCAGUCAGUGUAGACAGUAGAGGAGACUUAGAGGAGAUGUGACAGCCAUUUUCAAAUAUUUCACAUGGAGGAUAGAGCAAGUUUGUUUUCUCCUGCUCUGGAGGGUAGGACUCGAACCAAUGGCUUCAAGUUACAAGAAAGGAGAUUCCGACUAAACAUCAGGAAGAACUUUCAGAUGGUAAGAGCUUUUCUCAGUGGAAUGGUCUCCCUCGGGAAGUUGUGGACUCUCCUUCCAUUGAGGUUUUUAAGCAGAGGUUACAGGGCUAUCUGUCAUGGAUGCUUUAGUUGAGAUUUCUGCAUUAUCCCUUGUGACUCCUUCCAACUCUACAGUUCUAUGACUCGGUAUAAGGCAGCAUCCUACGUUACUCCCCACAUUUGUGGAACUCCCAGCCAAGAAAUAUUAAUACUUGAUCCCAUCUUUGUUAGUUUGAUAUGGCCCUUGAAGAGCUUUUCAUUAUCUCAGACAAGUCUUCCCCAAACUGGUUCUUUCCAGAUGUUUCAGACCCCAACUCCCAUCAGCCCCAAUGGUAAAGAAGGAUGUAUGGCAUUACUGGGAUCUCAAAGGGGGAAAUGACGUCUGGGGAAUUUUUCCAAAAGGCGGCACUUUGUCCUGGAUCUUAGGCAAAAAAAAAAAAAAAGCCCAACAAGUCUUUUCCCCCCAAAAAGCUCAACAUCUUCUUUUUUUCAGGGCAACCCUAAAGGAUGGGAGUUGUAGUCCAAAACAUCUGGAUAGCACCAAGCUGCCAUCAAUUGAAUCCUGGUGGGGAUUUUUCACUUUUGUGAUACAUAUCCAUUUUGUUUUUUUAGCCUUUGUUGUUUUAAUCAUGUCACUGCUGCUGUGAGGAUCGUCACUUUAUGAAUUGCUGCUGUUUCAAUGAAUUGUUUGCAGAGACAUCACCUUGCCAACAAAGGUCCAUAUAGUUAAAGCUAUGGUUUUCCCAGUAGUGAUAUAUGGAUGUGAGAGCUGGACCAUAAAGAAGGCUGAUUGCCGAAGAAUUGAUGCAUUUGAAUUAUGGUGCUGGAGGAGACUCUUGAGAGUCCCAUGGACUGGAAGGACCGAUCCUGAAGCUGAGGCUCCCAUACUUUAAACCUGAUGAGAAGAGAAGACUCCCUGGAAAAGACUCUGAUGUUGGGAAAGAUUGAGGGCUCAAGGAGAAGGGGACGACAGAGGACGAGAUGGUUGGACAGUGUUCUCAAAGCUACCAGCAUGAAUUUGACCAAACUGCAGGAGGCAGUGGAAGACAGGAGUGCCUGGCGUGCUCUGGUCCAGGGGGUCACAAAGAGUCAGACACGACUAAAUGACUAAAAAACAACAACAACAUCAGAUUUUUCUUUUCUUGGCUUGUUAUUUUAACAUUGAUGCUCUGCGGUUGUUAUUUCUUCAAUUUUUGUUUGUUGCUCUGGUUCUGCACCCUUUUAUACAUUGUAUGAUGUUUAAAUCUGCAAACCAUUGUGCAUUUAGGUUGCUGCUGUUUCUAAGAAGGUGGAAUAGAAUUUAUUUUGCAAUAGUCUUAGUUGCUUCUAUUGUUAGCCCUGAGAGUAUGAUAUUGCAGAGAGUAUCGUGCAAGUGUGUAAACAGAUAAAGAUGCUCACUAUUUUGCACGAGGGAUUUCAGUGCAUAAUGGAAAUGGAGAGUUCUGCAAUUAAAGUUUAUUCAAGCGCUCUUUCACCCUGGUACAACAAAGCUGAUUGUGGGUUUUUUAAAAAAAUAUAAAAAAUACAGGCUUAUUGCAGUUAUAACAGUGAUGGGGCAAUACACUGAAAAGCCUGGAAUGAAUGAAUGAUUAGCAAGAAGAUGCAUGAACAUCCCGCAAGCAAACAGAGAUGAAUGUUUACUGCCAUAUAACCUCCACCAGACCACAUAAUUGUCUAACCUCCCUGCCGGCUUUCUGCAAGGGUGAAAGUUCAAUAAACAGGUUGUCCAGAGGACUCUAAAUAAAUGAAAAUGAAAGGCACAGGGGCAGGCCAGCCUAUUUCCUCCCCAGCUCAACUGGCACCCUUGGUCCCUCUCGGCAAAGGUAACAGGAGAAGAGAACCUUGGUGUUAUUUCCAUUUUAGCCCGCUAAAUUGGGUUUCCCCUUUUUGAAAUGCCCGCCUGCCCACAAAGCAACACAAAUUCCACACAAUGAGAUAAGACACUGUGAAACCAUUCAACGUCGCCGGGGUCCGUGUGCCAAUGGCAAAGUGUAGCUGAACAAUGGCUUGCUAAACAGCAGCACAGUAUUAAUUGCUAAUUAUUUCACCAGCCUGUCUGAAAUGCAACUCCCCUCCCCAGCCUCCUAAAUCAAUUUUUAAUCCAUUUAAACAGCCAAGGAAUGCUCAAUCACAAAACAUGUAAUUACAGGGGAUUAUAUCACACCUCCAGCAUUUUGGCAAUGGGACUCGGUGGCAAAAGAUAAAAAAAAGAAAAAAAGAAAGAAAGAAGGUAGCACCAGAUUGUUUUAUUCAUGAAUUUUUCUACUUAACAGCAAAAUUGCUAGUUAUCGCUACAAUGCAUUCUUUGUUCAGACUUUUGGCUCCCAUUCUUCAGGUUUAGAAAUAAGACUUUAAAGUAAAUAGAGACAUACAAAAAGGACCCCCGCCCGUACCCUACUCAUAUCAGCACCAUGAUAGGGAAGCAAGUAAAGCUAAUAUUAAUUCUAAAAAGGAAUUGAAAACAUUAGUAAAGUAAAUUCCCCCAGGGUAUGGCAUGGUAGAUCGCAAUGCUACCUGUAUUGCUAUCAUAGCUUUUUUCAUGAAUAUGGUUUUUUAAUGAUGCGGUCUUUGCAUAGAAUUGGAUUCAUAUAUAUAUGAAUGAAACCAAGGGAUGUAAGAUUUAUGGCUGAUUUCUGCAACCUGUUACAUUUUGGACUACAACUCCCAUCAUCCCCAGCCAGCAGUCUAAAACAUCUGAAGGUGAUAAGUUUGGAGAAGGCUGAUUUAGGGAGUGGAGGUGUCUGGGGUAAUUGUGUUUGGUUUGGAUCUCAACUUCCAAAUUCAUGGCUCUACUUGAAAUAGUGGGGUGCAUGGGGUGUUGGGGGAGGAGAAGUGCCUUUGGAGGGGGACAUGUUGUGCUCCAUCUGGGGUAGAUUGUCCACUUUGGUUCCCACCCUGCACUUGGCUCUCACCUGUGGCUCCUAGAAGUUGUCAGCAUGCAACAGCAGCUACAGCCCAGGAAACGGCUUUGACUGGUCGACUAAACCAGGUGAGGUUAGGGGCUUCCCCUGCAUGCAAAGACAGACUCUGGUGGAUUGAGCAGACAAGACCCAUAGUGGUGUUGGGAAUUUCAUUCCUCCCGUGCUGCAGAUGUGUGGGAUUGUUGCAUGUCACAUGUCUGUGUUUACAUUCCAGCACUGAUUGUUGGUGUCUUGUGAGCGGAAACUGAGAUACAGUGGUACCUCGGGUUACAGACGCUUCAGGUUACAGACGCUUCAUGUUACAGACUCCACUAACCCAGAAAUAGUACCUUCGGUUAAGAACUUUGCUUCAGGAUUAGAACAGAAAUCACGCGGCGGCGGUGUGGUGGCAGCGGGAGGCCCCAUUAGCUAAAGUGGUACCUCAGGUUAAGAACAGUUUCAGGUUAAGAACGGACCUCCAGAACGAAUUAAGUUCUUAACCUGUACGCUGUUCCGUUCUCUAUAGCUAUUGCUUUUGCAGUUCCUUCUCCAAGGAAGAAAGACAGAGAGAGAAGCCAUGUUUUCUUUGUUCUGUUACAUUUGAUUUUCUGCGCAAUAAUUUAGGCUUAGAUGUUACACCUCAAGGCACAGCUUCCAUUUGGACUCUGCUAGUCAUGUGCUCAUGUCCUUGGAUAUGAAGAAGAAGAGUUUGGAUUUGAUAUCCUGCUUUAUCACUACCCAAAGGAGUCUCAAAGCGGAUAACAUUCUCCUUUCCCUUCCUCCCCCACAACAAACACUCUGUGAGGUGAGGCUAAGAGACCUCAGAGAAGUGUGACUGGCCCAAGGUCACCCAGCAGCUGCAUGUGGAGGAGCAGGGACGCGAACCCGGUUCCCCAGAUUACGAGUCUACCGCUCUUAACCCCUACACCACACUGGCUCUGAGUCACAUCAGCAUGAUGGGACAUUGGAGUGAUGAAUCCCAGGCGACACUGCGUUGGGGUGGAAAGGCACCAGCCUUGGCGUUAUCACCCAACAAGUGGGUCCAAUGGUCAAGAGGGGACAUGCUGCAGAGGGAAGUGAGGGGCAGUUGGGGCUUGUCAACAUGGGAAGGUAGCCCUAGAAGAAGGAAAACUCCUAAACCUUCACUGCCUUGCUGGAUAUCUUCAGGAGAAGAAAAGGCUAAAGAGUAAACCCUACACAAAUCUGUAGUCCCUAAGACGGCUGGAUGGCGCCUCCUACAGCUCCUUCUAGCUGGUGCCAAACGUCCUGCUCAACUUUCCUUCCGACCACAUCAGUGUGGCUCAGAAGCAGGUUUUGUCGUCUGGGAGUCCCAGAACACACUGCCCAGGCUUGUGUCUUGGGGAGGUCACUUCAGUGCUGCUAAUGCAGCUGUUUGACUCCUCCCCAAGGCAUACCCCAUUGUCUCUCAAGACAGACAGAUGCCAACAAUUUGCAAGCAGUGAAUUUGGGGGAGACUUUUCAACACGAAAAAGAUGGGGGACUUCGUGUAAGAGGUUUGGACAGCAUUAUUUUUCAGAUCUUUUAGGUGGGAAUCUUCUUGGCAGUUGCUGUCUAGUGGCCACCAUUCUCCCCCCCCCCCAAAAAAAAGAGUUGGGGUGCAGGGAGAGUUGGGGCAAGAAAGAGCUCUCCAGCUGCAUUGGACAGCCACUCCCCCAGCUGGUGACACCCCAAAAGAUACUUUUUUAAAAAAGAAAAGAAGACUCACAGUUGCAGCCUACUCAAAUGUUAACCUCCCUCAAUCCCUUAGAAAUGGUCUUCCUUUCCAAAUUGCCUUCAGGUUUCCUUCCAGUUCCCCCUCCCCCCAUUCAAACCUCCUCUGUUGCUGCACCCAGGUUUUGAACUCCUUAGCAUCUAGUCCAGCAACCUGUUCUCACUGUAGCCUGAAAGAGAAUCACAAAUUGGGAGAGCUCUGUGACACUCAGGUCCUCCUUCUCUGGUUCCUAUAAGCAUCCAGUUGGCCACUGUAAGAAUAGGAUGCUGGAAAACCCAGCAAGGCUCUAUUUAUCAUCUUGUGCUUCAUGGUUUCCUUGACUCGAAGAAGAGUAAAAACACAGACUUUCUCUUUUCUUUUGUGGCAUUUGAAAUGCUGAUUUUAGGUCUGGUUCCAGAAAACACUGGAAAGAUUCUUGAUCAUAUAUGCCAUGCGGGAAAAGAAAAGGGGCCAAAGUGGUCAAUAAUUGGCAUAAGAGAUAGGAAUUAUUAAACACACAUAUACUUGUUUAAAAAAAGAAUUGGUGCAGACAGAUAUCUUUGCAAGCCACAGAGUGGCUUCCAGAUUUAUAACAGAUAAUAUUAUGUAAUAUAUAGCUUUCCAGGCUGCUACAGGAACACUAAUCAAAUAAACCAUAUAGGCUCCAUUCCUAUAUCCACUUACUUUGGAGUAAGCCACAUUGAACUCAGUGUGUCUUACUUCUUAGUAGACGUGUGCAGGAUUGUGUUGUAAAACAUACUUUUUGCCAAUGAACAGUAUCUCUGUGUGUGUAUUCGAGCAAGAAAAAAAUGUUUUUCUUGGCUAAUCGAGACUCUGCAGCUACUUAUGUUUAGGGGAAAUGAUAAUUUAAUGCAUUCAUGGGAGUUGUAGCCUGGCCUUCUCCCUCAUUCCGAGUUACAGGAAAUGUUCUUACUGAAUGGGAUUCUGAAUACCAAGAAGCCAAACUGAAAGGCAGAUACUGAAAUGUUGUGAUCUGAUUUAUACAACCACAACCAUGCAAAAGAGAACUACAACCCAAAAACUCGGUGCAUGCAACUGCUUGAUCUAGUUAUAUACACCAAUACAGACUAACCCAUUGCCUUUAAAUAAAACUCAUCAACUUGGGGAUUCUUUAGCUGCGAUUCCUGCAUUCUGUGCAUUCUGCUCAGUGAACAUAGGAAUAUAGGAAUAUAGGAACAUACCUUGUACAGAGUCGGACCAUUGGACGUUCCAGUUCAGCUUUGCCUACACUGACUGGCAGCAGCUCCCCAUGUUACAGGCAGGGAAUCUUUUCCAACCCUUUUGAACCCAGGGCUUUCUGCAUGCAAACAGGUGCUGUACCACUGAGCCAUGGCCCAAUGGUGCUUCUUCUCAUGUACGGUGGUUAUAGGAUUGUAUCUCAGUCUUGGAAACUGGUCCAAUGAAAACUGCCAUCACCUAGCCUAAUAGCACAAUUCCCAGGGCCACAGAAAGGCUUGUGAGCGCCAAGACCUGUCCUGGGCCCUCCAAGCUGAGGGACUAGAGAGUGAUUGGCCAUAGCCGUGAGCCUCCAGUUGGAUUUCCCACAAUGCCGUGGGUGGCACUGUGCUUGGCACUUCAAGGCAUUGUGGGGAAUAAAUUGGCAGGUCUCAGUCCCCUUUGAACUGCUGUUACUACCACCUGCGCCAGGUAAGCCCAAAGGAGAGAGCAUCAACAUCAGAGGAGGGCACGGGAAGAAACUUUUAAAUAAACUAUUUAUGUUAGGACUCAGCUACAUUAUUAUUAUUUUUAAAGUGUUUUAAAUGUGUUAUAACACUGUGACACCAGAUGGAGCUGUAGAGUUCUGUCUUACGGCAACAUGUUUACAAUGUGUUUUCCUGAAACACGUUUGUUUGUUUUUUGCUGGUACUUCCCAACUGGUGCCAUUCAAAGCCAGCCUAACUUUUACAUGAAUAAAUGAAGAAAAUGCAGGCUUCCUAGAUAGAAAGAGGCGCAAGUCUGAGGUUAAGCCUGAAGAAAACUGACUUGCAAUGUUCUCAUGCUUAACCCUAUUGAAAUCAGUGUGGCUUUCCUGAGUUCAGUCUUGGCUGGACCAUGUUGUGUAUUCUUCAAACCCAACCUCAGCAGCAAGCAGUUUCAUCUCAUCAGUAUUCACAUCCAUAUAUAAAGAAUGAGAAAUUCUCUCUUUUCUUUUUCUUCUUCUGACAUCACUCAUGUACCCAGGUGCUAAAGUCUCCCCUCCACCUGUUUUUGCAACUUACUGACACGCUCCUUUCAUUCAGGAACAUGAGCAUGCUACCUACCUGCCACCUGAUCCCUUAACACCCUUUGAUGUCCUUCUGCCCUGCGCCCGAGGUCGAAGUCGACAGCGGACAUGCCUUUGGUAUGAAUGAUUUAAGGCAACAGGUGAAAGUCUUUACAUGCGAAUACUUACAACGGCCUUUCAAGGUCUCGGUAUCAGUUACGAUCAUAUUCCCCAAGUGGUCCCUUGCGUAUUCCCAAUUGUGUUGCUGUUUAUACAACUUGCUGCCCUGCCACAUUUCAUGGCUUUUUAUUAUUAUUUUUAAUGAAUUGUGCACACAGAUCCUCUGAUUCUUGCCUGGGGGAGCAUCUCUCAAGCAGUCAUCCUUCAUUAAGGGGAGCUGCCAUUCACUGAUGAGACAACAGCAGAUCACGGAUGUAAGUUUCCUGUUAACUUCUUUGAGUCCCACCUGCUCUCUGCAUCCACUGACUCUAAACUUCUGAGGGAGUCAGCCAAAAACGGCUGUAGUUUUGCUGAUGCAGUAUGUUUGAGAGUUUGGUGCUCUUUCUGGGUUUUUGAUUUUACAGCUUGGAUUUUAACGAUGCUUUAAGACCAUUUUCAAUUGCGUCUGAAUUAAAUUUUAUGUGAGCAGCUCCGAAGGUUCAUUUGAGGUCUUAUAGGACAGGAUAUAAAUGUAAAACAUAUAGCUCCCUUGUCCCUUUUAUUCUCCUCUCCCUUUGUUUCCACUCUACCUUGACAGCUCUUACUUUUAUGAGGUAUAAAAUAAGACAACCUGCCCCACCUUUGUGGUCUCUAGGUGAUUUGAACUUCGGCUUCCAUCAUCCCUUACAACUGGCCAUGCUGUCUGGGGCCGAUGGGAAUUAGGGCCCAAAACAUCAGGAAUGCACCAAUUUGGGGGAGACUGGACUGGGAUUUAAAACAAAAAACAACAACAUCUUCUUCUCUUGAUGCUGAAAGGACAUAAGAGGAGGAGCUAGGUAAGUCUCCCUGGGAAGGAUGUUCUCCCAAAAAGGUCCAACAGGUGAACAGGCCAACUGAGUCACCCACCUAACUUGGGAUGAUUACAAUGCUACUGCAUACAUGUGGGGAAAGAUUGUUUCAUUUUUAAUUUGUAUACUGCUUUUCUAUAUUACUAUACACAAGUCAGUUUAUAGCAACAAAAUGCACAACAAAGAACCGCACCUUAUAAAACAUAACUUUAAAACGGAACAACUUAUAUCUGAUAAAGAAAUAUUCAAUAAUCUAUUGGAAUAUAUUAGUACCCAAUAAAUUUGACUCUCAAAACAUCAGCAAACAAUAAUUAAACAGAAAUUAACUCUUAACAAUUACAAUAAAUAAAUAUUGAAUUAUGAUCGGUAAAAAUAACUUCAGGUUGGGGAAGGCUGAGGUAAGGCAGCAUCACUAAUCGGUCCAGUUUUCGUUGAAGGGGGUAUCAACCUUUCAGUUAACUAAGACAUGGGCAGAAUAAAAAGGUUCUCCAACUAUUUGUGAUGACAGAUGCUAUCCAAUCACAUGAGCCAGAGGUCUCCAACCUUUUUCGGCCUUUAGGAACAUUUGGAUUUUUGAGUGAGUGGCAUGGACCUCAGCCCCUCUGGCCAUUUCUUUCCCCACUUCCCUGAAUCAGCUGCCUCCUAGGAGGCAGAGGGAGAGAAAGCACACACACACACACACACACACAUUUCCUCAGGGAAUGGGGCAAAAGUUGAGUCCAGCAUAAUUAAUCUGUGCCUUGAAAAGUACAUAGAGCUAAAAACAGGAAGUGGGAAGAGUGCCACUCUUCCCACUUCCUCCUUCAGCUCUAUGUACUUUCAUACCCUCCAACAUUUCUGCGAUGAAAACAGGGACAUCCCAUUCCAUAAUGAUAAUUUUACUAUUUAUAUCUCACACAUCUCACUGGGUUGCCUCAGCCACUCUGAGCAGCUUCCAACAUACAUAAAAACAUAAUAAAACAUUAAAUACUUUUUAAAAAGCCUUCCCUAUACAGGAUUGACUUCAGAUGGCUCGGGGGAUGGAUACCCUCCAACAUUUCUCCAAUGAAAAUAGGGACAUCCUGUGACAUUCUGAGACCAAAUAGGGACAUCCUGUGACAUUCUGAGACCAAAUCAGAAAAUGGGAUGGCAUCUCUAAAUCAAGGACGUCCCUGGAAAACAGGGACGCUUGGGAGGGUCUGUACUUUUCAAGGGAGAAAAACGUUUUCAGCAGUUUUCAAUUCACUCAAUAAAUUUGUCAUUUCACAAACCAAGCAUGCACUACGGAGGUGCCAGCAAUCAUUUCCUAAAACUAUCAGACAAUAUCUAUAAGUUUAGCAGGUACCGUAUUUUUCGCCGUAUAGGACGCACUUUUUCCCCCUCCAAAAAUGAAGGGAAAAUCUGUGUGCGUCCUAUGGGGCGAAUACAGGCUUUUGCUGAAGCUUGGAGAGCGAGAGGGGUCCGUGCGCACCGACCCUUCUUGCUCUCCAGGCUUCAGGAAGCUAUCAGCAAGCCUGGGGAGCCUGCGGGAGUUCCCGCAGGGCUCCCUAGGCUGUAGAUAGCAGCCUGCCGCCCGGCGCGCGGGCGCCCUGAAGCAGAGCACCCCACGCGCCGAGCAGACAUCCGCAGCCUGGGGAGCCCUGUGGGAGUUCCCGCAGGGCUCCCCACGCUGCAGAUAUUAGCCUGCCGCCCAGCGCGCGGGGCGCCCUGAAGCAGACCACCCCUCGCGCCGGGCAGACAUCCGCAGCAUGGGGAGUUCCCGCAGGGCUCCCCACGCUGCAGAUAGCAGCCUGCUGCACGGAGCGCGGGCUGCGCUGAAGCUGAGCGCCCCGCGCUUCGGGCAGACAUCGUCCAGCCCCACAAGCUCGGGGGACAGCGGGGAGGCGCAGCGCCGCCAUCCCGCUGAUCCCCGACCUGGUUUUGGGGGGGAAAUGAAGGGAAAUUUUUUUCCCUUUAUUUCCCCCCCAAAAAAACUAGGUGCGUCCUAUGGGACGAAAAAUACGGUAGGUGCCUUUAUUAGGAAUGCCUUUUGUAAACAGCAGCAACACCAGGUAUUUGAAGAGCGCUCAGCAGCUGAUCUCAAAGCACUACAUUACCAGGAACUGCUUUUUCCUUUCUCAAGUUUUUCCUUUGGCGUAGUAUCAUAGCAAGCUGCACAACUCAGCCUUUCAGAGAAUCCUUUUUGAAUUCCAUCCUUAUGCCCUGUAGCCUCCUCACAUUCCUGUAAGGCAGUUUAAUAUUCAUUUAAUCAUGCCAGAACACCACAUGCGGCACUCUGCAAUGGCUGUACAGACGCUAAUUAAGCCGAGCUGUGCAAACAAUCAAGCAAUUUAAAAUCAAAACAAAUCCCCCUGUUUCAUCCAAACAAUUGAUGGGGGCAAAAUCAAUGAAAACACUCUCGGCGCAUGCAGAGUGCAGAAAUCAUCCCAUGAUAUAUUGAUGCAAUUACUAUAAUAAAUGUCACAUUUACAAUCGCAAGUGGUCAGGAACCUCAAGCGGGGGAAAAGAGUAAUUUGCUGGGUAAGUGGAAGUGUGUUUGGUAUGUUCACAUAACACUUUCUUCCCUUAAAAGUAAUAGCAUGGCAAAUUUGAGUUUGGAACAUCAGCUUUUAACUUUGGGAAUCACUUGGGAGCCAAGCUUUUAAUUACAGUGUUAACCUCUCUCCAAGAGGUGAGAGGUUUCGGUGAUCUUACCCAGGCUCAAUUUCCUUUAGAAGAUAGCCAGUGAAAGUUUAUUGGCAUUUUUAAAUAUUGGUGUUUAUUUAGAAAUAUACAGGUUGAGUAUAGAUGAAGACCCAGCAUUGAAGACUGGCAGCCAGCCCAAAGUUUGGUGCUUUCACAUCUGAUAUCUAGGAGGGCAGCCAGUACACUGAGACUCUUGAUGAGCCAGCUCAUCUCUCUGGCCCCCACCUGCCUGCCUUUCUCAAUCCCAUAAAAAUGCUUUUGGUUGGAUCCAGAGUUCCUGGGGCUAGAACCCUGCUCAGGAGAUGCUCCUACAGGGGGUAGGCCAUAGCUCGGUGGUAGAGCAUCAAUCCCUGGUAUGAAUCCCAAGUGGGGCAGGAAGAGACCUCUGCAAUUCUAGGGAGCCACUGCCUGUCUGUGCAGAUGUAUCAAUGGUCUUACUCCCAUCCUUUUCCAUUACUGAGUGACCCUGUUGGACCAAAAGACCUUCUAUGAAUGCAAGGGCAUCAGCAGGAUUCUAUCCAAUAUGUUUAUCUGUGAUGUGGUAGCUUGGACGUCAGUGACUCUGUAUUGUGCAUUUUUAACAUUUCUAUUCCCGUAGCAGGCAUGUCCAACAGGUAGAUCAGUAGAUCACUGGACGUCUGGUAGAUCACUGGUAGAUCACUAGCUCCCCCCAAAGAAGCUCAACGUUUUCACCCUUCACCCUCCUACCUCUUCCCUAAAAAAAGUUCAACAACUUUGACCUGAACCACAAAAAGGGGGGUGGAUCACUGCCAGUCUUUGUGAGUAGAAUCACAGUCCCUUGGGAGUUGGCCACCCUUGCCGUAGAGCAUGAAACUCUAGAUCUCAAGGUCAUGGGUUCGAGCCCCAGUUUGGGCAAAAGAUUCCUGCAUUGCAGGGGAUUGGACUUGAUGAUCCCUGUGGUCCCUUCCAACACUACAAUUCGAUCAUUCUAUGUGCCCUUUGCAGACUUUCAUUCACACAUUCGACAAAUGCACCUGGGGGGGUUAUUGCAGCUUCAGGCUCCCCUCGCAACCUAUGUGUUCACGGAAUGAGCAUCACCCUAAUGAACAUCUCAAAAUAGCUGUGAUUGUCAUUCAGGGAGUAGCUAUCCGUGAGGGGGCAGGAUCAGACAAAAUGAGAUUUCAAGAAGUAAUGUCUAAAAUAACAUUUUAUUUUGACUACUCCCACUAAGGUUGGGAUCCCCAAAGUUGUAGCUGGGCUGCCAUGGCACCCCAGAUAACCCCCUGGUACCAGUUGAGACCCCUUGCACCUUCUUAAUAUUUUUGAGGAGUGGCGGCUCUAUUUUAUUUUAUUUUACCUUGGUCAGUUUCUGGCUGGAUGAAAAGAGAAGGGCAGGUCUCCAACCCAUCCCACCCAUGCCUUUGGCCUGCAUAUAAGCCCAGAGACAGGAGAAGAAAAUACCAGGGAGGGACAGUUUGAGGCAUGGACUUUUGUCUUGCCCCUUCUUCAGAAAAUAAAUAAAUAAAUGGGGCCAUUUUACUGCUACAUUUUGGGGAAAUUAUGGGAGUGACCUGAGAGGAGUGAUUUGGUGUGUGCUUAUGUUUGUUUGGGGGGUGUUCUGUAUGCAUUUUUUAGACUGCCUGUCUCUCUUUUUGCUUCCCCACCCCCACCCCCCAGGUGUCUGUCUUUUCAGGGGGUGACUGCUCUUUGUGGUGUUUUUUAUGGUGGGUAGCCUGACGUUUUUGUUUUACGGAGGUAUAUUGCCUAUAGUGUUGUUGUUGCUGCAUGUGUUUAUGAGCAUCCACUUCCACUGCUGGGCAUUUUCUGGUGCCCUCCAACAUUCGGAUUUCUAGAUGUGCUCCAAGGGCCCAAAAGGUUGGGGACACCUGCAACAUUGAAGGUGGCUUUUGCAGUAAUUGCACAGAGAAGGCUCUGUUUGCCAUCACUUAAGGAGUGUGUAACGUUUGCGUACUCCAAAUCGGGAUAUACAAUUUACUUUACCUUAAAUAUAGCGUUUUCACAGAAACCCUGCAUUCUCUAGAAACUCUAUCCAUCUAAAUUGCUGUAUUUAGUGUGGCUAAAUAAGUCCAGGCCAAAUUUAGUGCCUGUCCACAAACAGUCCCUGCCAGCAGAAUUGUAAAGGGUCAUUUUGGAAGGUAGUAAUGACUAGUGGCACUUGUGCCAUUUUAUCUGGGAAACUACCGGUAAAUAAAUUUUAGAAAACACCUGAGAAACAUUGAAGCUUUAGAUGUGUCACGAAAGUUGACUUUGGAUUCAUGCGGGACCUUUCCUUUCAGCAAGACUUACAACCUAGAGCAUCCGUAGCAGGAAAACGAUCCUGUCAACUUCUGUGAGACCUCUGAGCAAACCUCUUUCAGAUUUGGCUGUAAGACUCUACGGUUGCUUACUUGGUACUAUUGCUAUUAUUACAUUUAUAGCCGACCUUUCCUCCAAGGAGCUCAAGUUGGUUCUCCCCAGAACAUCCCAUUUCCCCCCACGAGAGCAUGGUGGCUAUUUGAGGCCUUUUUCAGGGCCGCAAUCUCACACAGGACCUCAAAAUGCAUGUUUUUGGGUGCCAUAAGAACACGCCCCACCCCAAUCAUGUCUUUGAGGCUCUGUGAUCUUGUGCAGAUCAUGUGACUUACAUGAGAGCACCGACAGGAAGAAAUGUGUCCUGCUUUUGGGACUCAACAUGUUGGAGGGUCUGGUAUUUCAAACAAUGUUUAUUCAGGUUGUGUUUGUGCUUGUACAUACAGUCGUACCUUGGUUUUCAAACAGCUUAGUUCUCAAAUGUUUUGGCUCUCUACACUCAUCUCCUUAUAAUGUUGCCCCAAAAAACCCUCCACAUGCCCAUAUCAGUGUCAGAAAAGAAGCUUUGCAUAUACAGUGGUACCUCAGGUUAAGAACUUAAUUCAUUCCGGAAGUCUGUUCUUAACCUGAAACUGUUCUUAACCUGAAGCACCACUUUAGCUAAUGGGGCCUCCCACUGCCGCCACUGCUCGAUUUCUGUUCUCAUCCUGGAGCAAAGUUUUUAACCCGAGGUACUAUUUCUGGGUUAGUGGAGUCUGUAACGUGAAGUGUAUGUAACCUGAAGCUUAUGUAACCCGAGGUACCACUGUAUACUUUUAUGAGCAUUGACUGUUCUGGUGUUCAGAUGAACACAUGUAGGUUGUGAGCAUGGCUUGCCACUGCAAUUCCACAUUCCAGCCCCGUGUGCAGUCAUUCCUUGUGGAUGUAAAGGUCUAAAAGGGGCUCAAGACACUUUUACAAAAGGAUAGUACACUUACAAGGAGGUGUGAUUUCACAAAGGUUUGGAAACAUGGGCUUCCUUAAUGCUCCAGUGAGAUUAAAUGGCAUUAAUGGACAUUAAGUGAGAGCUGGACCAUAAAGAAGGCUGAUUGCCGAAGAAUUGAUGGUUUUGAAUUAUGGUGCUGGAGGAGACUCUUGAGAGUCCCAUGGACUGCAAGAAGAUCAAACCUAUCCUUUCUUAAGGAAAUCAGCCCUGAGUCCUCACUGGAAGGACAGAUCGUGACGCUGAGGCUACAAUACUUUGGCCACCUCAUGAGAAGAGAAGACUCCCUGGAAAAGACCCUAAUGUUGGGAAAGAUGGAGGGCACAAGGAGAAGGGGACGACAGAGGAUGAGAUGGUUGGACAGUGUUCUCGAAGCUACCACCAUUACUUUGACCAAACUGUGGGAGGCAGUGGAAGACAGGAGUGCCUGGCGUGCUCUGGUCCAUGGGGUCACGAAGAGUCGGACACGACUAAACGACUAAACAACAACAAUAAGGAGCUCAAGAAGCUACAAGGCCAGGUAGAGGUAAAAUGAAGAGGCUACAAAACACCGACUAAACAACAACAACAAUGGACAUUGGUUCCAUUUUGCUUGAAACAAAAUUGCUGCUGAUCCUUUCGGAAAGCAAAUGCAAUUCACAAGGAAGCUAUAACAAGAAAAGUGCCAUCUAGCAUUAUUGUUGAGAACUAGGCAGGUUGGGGGAGGGUGCUGGGGAUGGGGGGCAAUAGGCGGUAAGGACACACAAACCAAUAACUCAGCUUAAUGGUAUUUGUAAAACCUGGGCCAAACAGCAAACAUUGCUUUUGACAGCCUGUUGGUUCUGUAUUGUUCCAAAGCCUGGUACCUUGGUUACGAAAUAUCUCCAAUUCUCCCCCCCGCCCCCCAAUGAUCAGAAAGGCUUAUUGUAGCAUGUUGGAUGCGGAGAAAGAGAAAGAAUGAGGAGAGGGGUACUUAGUAAGUUCUGUGGAAAGAAAAUGGCUCCACGGCAGCUUUAUUCAUUCAGACAAAUGCUUACAGGUCCCCUGCCAAAAUGGAUUCCCGAGACUACAAGAGAAACAACUAAGGCACAUUGGUUUCUGUUAUCUCUGUUUGGACAUUUGUCUGUCUUCACUAGAUCUUUGAAAGCUUGUUUACAAGGAAGACAGGUUGCCCCAAAGCAGAAGGGAUGAAUCUGUUGACGGAUAGGAUGCAGUCUGGGGUUUUUUUCUUUCCUUUUUUUAAUUGGAAGCUGACGUUCGCUGGAAUGAGCCUGUAAGGUUUGCUGUGGAACAAUACGACCUACCACCAGCGGCUUAUAUUUCAGCAGGGUUAAAGCAAGGGGUCUUUGAAACUUGGAGUGGCGUGGAAUUCUUCAUUUUAAUGCAGAGUUUGCAUCUGAUUAAAUACAUUUUUUAAUUCUUAUUUUUAAAGGUCCCUUGUCCUAGCAAACUGAAUUCUGAUACGCUUUUGGGAGGGGGUUGUUUUUGUUUUAUUCCCUUUGCAAAAGAAUGCUUUUCAAAUGCAAUCAUACAGAAUAUGUCUACUGAGACCAAUGAAUAUUAGUCACAGUUAAGACAGCAACCAUUGCAAAUUCUAUAGGAAAUGAACGCUAUUUUGUCAUGGCAGCUUUUUAUUUUUUUUAUGCUAGUCUAGAUAAAUAAAUAAAUAAAUAAAACCCCAAUUUCCUCUGUCUUUAUUUAAAACUUCAACCAGAUACAAAACUCAGAAAAGAAUAUAUAUAAUGCCUACAUUUAUGCUCAGUAUAAAGGUAAAGAGACCCCUGACCGUUAGGUCCAGUCGCGGACGACUCUGGGGUUGCGGUGCUCAUCUCGCUUUACUGGCCAAGGGAGCCGGCGUACAGCUUCUGGGUCAUGCGGCCAGCAUGACUAAGCCACUUCUGGCGAACCGGAGCAGCGCACGGAAACGCCGUUUACCUUCCCGCCAGAGCAGUACCUAUUUAUCUACUUGCACUUUGACAUGUUUUCAAACUGCUAGGUUGGCAGGAGCAGGGACCGAGCAACGUCAUGGGGAUUCGAACCACCGACCCUCUGAUCGGCAAGUCCUAGGCUCUGUGGUUUAACCCACAGCACCACCCAAAAAAAAGUACAAGUAGAUAAAUAGGUACUGCUCUGGCGUGAAGGUAAACGGCUAUUCGGUGCCCUGCUCUGGUUUCGGUGUUCCGUUGCGCCAGAAGCGGCUUAGUCAUGCUGACCACAUAACCCGGAAAAACUGUCUGUGGACAAACGCCGGCUCCCUUGGCCUGUAAAGUGAGAUGAGCGCUGCAACCCCAGAGUCGUAUCUGACUGGACUUAACUGUCAGGGGUCCUUUACCUUUUUAAAAAAUAAAUUCCAUAACUAUUUCCUAACUAGCCCAAAACAAUAUUGGGUUGUAUUCCUUUAAGUUUUAUUGAGAGUGGACCCGCUGAAAUGAAUGAACUUAAGUUGCCAUGGGCAAUAAGUUCAAAGGGUCUACUCUGAGUAUGACGAAGAUUGGCUGCAACCCAUUAUUCGUGUCAUUUGCAGUUGUGUGAUUUGUAAAGCUGUCACCAGAUUAAAAGAAAUAGUUGAUUAACUAUAUGAGCGUCAGUCAAUGAGCCAAUAAAUUUUGCAUAAAUUCACAUAUGAGUUAAAAUAUUAUUCUUAUUAUUUAUUGAAUUUAUAUACCAUCUCACAGAAUAGUAGCCCCAAAGCAAGAAACACCAUACUUUAGAUUUUAUAAAGAAAUUAAAUAUAAUCUCAGAUCUUUCCACUCUGUUCCAUCUCUCUCUGUUGGGACCCACAGCCUGGAACAUGACUCCUUUUUCUCUCUCAGGUCCCAAUGUCCAUGUCUUCACUGUCCUUCCUCUGCCUCCCACUUUCAUUCCACUCUGCUCACCUUCCAGACACACCUACUGCCACUCCCAUUCCUCACACAGGGUUCUGACUGACUGUUGUCAGUUCAACAGUGUGUGAACACACAUGGUCAAACACUCAUGGCCUCCUCUUCUCACAUGCUUGACAUCAAAGAAGGCUUCCCAUGAUUUGAUCCCGGUUUGUAAUCCUGGUUUGUAUGGAGCUGAAGUCGGUUUGUCAAAACGUUUCAAAGUCAGGGCAAAACUGUACUUUAUUAACAAACCAGGAAGUUUAUUGGGCACAUGAGAAAAGGAGGGAAGGAGAUGAAGAGGAGAGGAUGUUUGAAUUUAUUGCUCAUUCCCACUUCCACACUCACUCAGGGUUCCUGUUCACUUGGAUCAGGCCACACUAAGCGUGUGGCAAGGCAGCAUGGCUUGCGGACGCAUUCCCAUUGCCUUCACACAUUCACUGAAUGCUUAUAAGAGGGUCAUCUGUACAUGGGUUCAUCCUUUUAGCUAAGAGCUUGCAGGUACGCCUAGCCUAGCUUCUUUGCGUUCCAUUGUUCUGUGAGUCCAAAUCAUUUUUGGAUUUUAUUUUAUUUUUAAUCACAGAAAACGAGGGGAAUUAUUAACUCUGCCUUGCAUUUCACACGAUAAAAUGGUGAUGCGCCCAAAUAUGGCAGGCCUUAAACAAUAGUUUUCAUACCUCCCUUUGCGUUCUUAGCUAUUUCAUAAGGCAAAUGUUGACAAAUAGGCAACUAAGGCCAUAGCGAGGGGGCUGCCAACCAAACGGGCCCUGACAUAAGUAAGAACAAAUGGUGUAUUAUUUUCCAAACGGCUUAUACCAGGACAAUAAAAAUUGUUGCAUAUGAUUCUCAUAUUUGCUGCUUGCUGUUAGGUUAUGCAAUUCCCCCCUCCUCUUUUCUGACCAUAGAGACGCCCAGAGCUGCUUUACACCGAACCAAUCCAUUGGUCCAUCUGCCUUCUUAUUGUCUACAUCAAGGAUGGAGAAAUAUUUUUAGCCCAAGGACAAAAUUUCCGCAUGAAUGACUUUCCAGGGCCCACACACCAGUGGUGGGCUGGACCAGAUGCAAAAAGGACAAUUGGAAACAAUAUGCAGGUCCUAAACAAGUAUUGAGGAGUCUUAGUGGUUGUUCUGCUCUUCACACAGCUGGAGAGAAAGGUUAACUUCUCCAGGAAUUUCCAAUCUGUACUUGGUUUUUUUUUAAUAUUUUCAUGCACCCAACUGGUGUCCUCCAGAUGUGGCUGGCCUUCCAGUUCGCCUCCAGCCCUGGCAAGCAUGCCCAAUUGUCAGAAAUCUGCUCCAGAAGGUUGAGGGACCCUCCAGAUCACAUCUGGAGGGGAUAGUAUAAGAGGAGAGGAACAUGGACCAAUGGAGCCCCGCUUUCUGCAACAUUGGAUGCAACCUUAUAAAAGGCAAGCAUGCUGAUAAAUUGUUUCUGGUUCAUCACAAGGGUGCCUCAAUAUGUUUUGCAGCUCUCACCGCACGGUACUAUAAUCUUUGGAUCAGGCCCCAAGGAGGAAGCUUGACACAGAAGGAUCAGUGUACAUUCUCAGAUUACUGACUGAAUGGGGUCACAGUAUGCAUGGGUACUUAGCAAAGAAGCCACAGCAUUUUCCACUGGCUGCGACUUCCAAACAGAACACAACUUGCACACUGUGCCGCGGACUCUGGAGCAAAACACUCCUGUGACCACUUUAAAUGCAGAGGUGUCUUUUUGCGUGAGGAAAAGGGAAAGUGUGGGCACAAACUACUCUGGACUUCAAAGAGUCAGCUUUGACUGAAGCAGAGGCGGCAAGGCCCGGCGGUUAGGUCCCUGACUGCAUAUCAACAACAGUACCAUAAAUCACAUUUACUUCCAAACCUAAUACCUAGCAUUUAGAGUCAAGAGACGUUUAGAGAGCUGCCUUCAAGACAUUGCAUAAUUUAUUGUUCCCUGAUUUAUUCUCCAUAUGACAAGUAAAAAAGUUGAAGUACUGUCGGUAGCUAUUUUGAUUUCUCUUCAGAUCCAUUUGACAUCUGUUAUCCAAGUAAUGUUAUCUUGGUGGAUAACAAGAUUUGCUCCGAUUUCUUGCAUCGUUCCCUCCCCCUUUAUUUUUUAGGGAAUGACAAUUAAAUAGAAUUAAAUUGCAGCGUUCUGCUGUACAUUUAAAUGUAAACAGGGCAGGACUGCAGUAUAAAGAUGUAUUACUGAUGAGGUACACAAAGCUCUGUAACAGAAACUAGUUUUGAUCUACUGUUUAUAGUAGAGCAGUGAGAUGUCUACCAAAUGAGGACAACGUCUGAAAUGUGUUUGCCAUUUACAGCUUGAACUUUCAAACAUGCGAAGAGGAGGGAGAGAAUUGGCCCCUUUGCUGCUGAUGACACAGUCAUUCCUAAUUUUAUGGUGAGAAUGCCUUUUCCUUGCUAUUGUUCAUAAGGUGAGCAAAACCAAUUCAGAACAUUUUCUGAAUUCCAGGUGGCACCCUCUACCUCCAUUCCACAUGCUAAAGCCAACCAGACUCACCGUUGACUCUUACUUCAUCACUGCAUACCCCCCAAUAUUCCUCAGAUGAAAACAGGGCCAUUCUAUUCUACAUCAGUAUCACUGCUGGGGGGUGAGGGCUUUUUAAAAAAAUAUAUUUUAAGAUAUUUAUUAAAGUGUUUAUGAUACGACCAAGUCCCCUUGCCGAAGUCCAGCUAGCUCCAGCACCCAACCUUGACCCCCAUAACCUCCUUGCCCCACCACCCUUCAAACUCCAGUCCUCCACAGACCUGUCUGCACCCUGCCAGCUACACCCUUCCCCACCCCCCCACCCCAGGGUCUGCUUCUCCAGCCGCCACCUUCUCCUGAAGCCUGACUUGGCUUAUUUUCUCCUCCUUGUUCUUAUUUAGCACAACCAACUGGCUGGGGGCCUGCCAGGCUGGAGAGUCGCAGCCUCCCAAGGUGGGGAUGGUAACCCUGUUGCCUAAUUCCCUCUUCCUUCUCCUCCUCUUCCUACUACUCCUCCUGCUGCUAUGCCCAUAGCUGUCAACUUUUCCCUUUUCUUGCGAGGAAUCCUAUUCGGAAUAAGGGAAUUUCCCUUAAAAAAAGGGAAAUGUAGACAGCUAUGGCUAUGCCACCGGCCGGCCAGCCCAUCAGCCUGCCUGCCUGGCUCCCUCUCUCAGACCCAGCCCAAGACUCUUCCCUCAGUCAGCAAUUAUCUCUUCUCCCUGCUUCUACCAGUGUGCAGCCAUUUCCGGUUACCAUACCUUAACAAAGAUGGGAAUUCAAGACUCUGCAUGAGAAGCCAUGAUGGCUUAAGGGUUUCCGUGAUGUUCCCAGCAUUUUCAGGGCAGUUGAAGACUAUGUCACUGCACUAGGGGACACAGUGCAGGCUAUAUUAGAGCUUUUGGGGGAAAAGUUGUUGAGAGAUGUUUUUUGAGUUAUUUUAAAGGAAAUUCACCAAAACCUGCACUUAGAGCAAUUUCGGCCCAGACACUGUUUCUGACAGCCGAAUCCCAGAAAUUUCCAGACAUAUGGCAACCAUAGGCGAUAUGGCACUCUUCUCUGUCUUACAACUCCUCCCCACUGCAGCCAUCUCUGUCUAAUGGUAGGGCCAGCCCUUGAGGUAAGACAUGGGGGAGGGGGAGGCUUCUCUCAAGGUGAGAGGUCCUCCCAAAUGUUUACUACAUUCCCCUUCUUAACAGGUUGUUUUCUUGCCUGCACUGAUGAAGGGAUCCCGGAUCCAAGAUAGGACAGAGCCAUGCUUCAGCUAGAAGAUGCCUGUAACCUUGUUACAGUAAUUCUGAUCGGAGAAACUCUGUGGGUAGCCUUAUUUUCAAUUGAUUGUCAAACCUCUUUUAAAAAUCUAUCCUGUUCUUGCACUGGCAGUAUUCUUACAGAUGCAUGGCUAGAUACAGUUAGCAACAGACUUAUUUCAGUACAAUAAUCAGUGACUAAGAACUUGACUGGUUGUUUGCAGUUUUACAACCUUCCACAGUUUUAUAUUGGGCCAACUUGGAGAUACAAUCUUUUCCCAUUUGGCUUUAUUUCACUUUCCAAGCAUUAAAAACUGCUUUUCUGCACUCCACAAAGUUUCUCUUUUGCCAAGUCAUGCUGCACUAUUCAGCUUUUUAAAAACAGCAUUUUACCCUUUAAAAAUAAGGGUGCCAUCAAAAAACACCACUAUGGUACCCCAGUUGUGGAGUUUCUUCCCAGUAGAGAUACAAUUGUGCCCUCAUGGGAUUAUUAUUAUUAUUAUUAUUAUUAUUUCUUCUUCAGGCCUUUGGAGAUUACUGAGCUGGCUGCUGGUUGUUCCCUGUUGAACUACUUACUGCUCUUUACUGCUUAACCGAUGGUUUCGUGAUUAUAUGCCGUAUUUUAUUUUAAAUUCUGGAGGUCUUGGAGUUGAAGAAUGUUUUUAAAAUGCAAUGUAUUAAAUAAAUAAAACUUAAGGCGUCCAGGGUCCAUCUAUGGCCCUCUCUCCUCGCUCUCAGUGUUCAGAACACUGGAACCAAAAGGAUUUGGUCCCUGUGCAAUGUCUAUUUUUACUGGAAUUGUUGUGAAAAAGCAGUUAAUCAUAUUUGACAUAUGGGUGGUUUUUUUCUUCACAUCUCAGAGAAAUUCUGUUCAGAGACAAAUGGGGGGAUUGUUGGCUGCCUUUUAGUAUCACUCAAAAGAAAUCCAAGUGCAAAGGUGUGAUUCAUAAUCAGUGAGAAGGCACCAUGAGGUAUGGAGGGGAAAUACUUUUUUUAAAAGUUUGAGGAGAAAGACUUGACAGAAGAACAAAAGGUCCCUCAGACACUACACAGAAGAAAAGGGUGGAAAGAAAAAGGUCACAGACAUGAGCCAAAGUUAGGCGGACAAGCAGGUUCAGGAAGAUACUCAGAUGAGGGAAAAUAGGCUUCAGUUUCAUAAUACUGAAAGCCUCGAGGAAUAGCAAAGAUUAGGGUCUCUCCCUUUUUCUUUUUCUGGUUAAGAUUUUAUCACCUUUGAAACGCGCUGGGAACCAGAGUAGGUGUUUCCCCAAUUGCUCUUCAACUUGAAAAUAGCAAGUCAGAACCAGACAAAAGCAUGGGUUUCAAAUGCCUGGCAAGGCCCUCAGAAAUUAUCCUGUUUUAAAGAAACAUAACACAAAUGUUCUUGACGAUAACCAAGAGUAGAUUUUCUAGGGAAAUGACCAACUGGUGUUUACAAUACCACACUGUGUUCCUAUAGCUUCAGCAAAUGCACAAUAGAUUUUAUUUCAAGCAUGUCUGAAAGGCUCAUGUUUUAGGAAGCCCUG